GGGGAAUCACUGCACACCCAGUUGAAUAAGAUGAGAAGAAUUAAUCCAUAGUUAAAGUGUUUGCUAUAUAUUUCAUAUUUCCACAGGAUUAUUGUUUGUUGAGGAGUGCGGUGGCGCAGUGGGUUGGACCACAGUCCUGCUCUCCGGUGGGUCUGGGGUUCGAGUCCUGCUUGGGGUGCCUUGCGGCGGACUGGCGUCCUGUUCUGGGUGUGUCCCCUUACGCCCUGUGUUGCCGGGUAGGCUCCGGUUCCCCGUGACCCUGUAUGGGACAAGCGGUUCUGAAAAUGUGUGUGUAUUAUUUGUUGACCUAGGUUUUCUUUUGUUUGGAAUUUUUCCCAGUAUGUAUUCAAUAACCGAGACUUAAGCUCCACUGUACUCAGUGAAGGCCACAGGUCUCAGUUACCACCCGUCUUCUCAGUGCUGAAAGGUUCAUUGUCUCAAUCUGGCACCGUGUCUCCCACUACUGAGGUUGGGAGCCCUUUGAGAGUUAUGCAAUUCCCCGGAGUUGUUUCCGCAUGGAUCGGAACUGGUCUCGCAGUUCACUGCCCGAUUCAGAAGAAAUGUCUUGUUUGUCUCUCACAAUGUCACCGUAUUGCAUUUCCUUUCAAUUCUUGGGCACUAAGAUCCAGUUUUAUUUACCUGAGAACGCUGGGAGGGACACUUAGAACUGAACUCCCAGAAAUCUCAUCUAUCGUCAACAACCGCUUGUCCCGACGAGCCGGAGCCUUACCUGGCAGCACUGGGCACAAGGCCGAAGGGGGAGGGGACACACCCAGGACAGGACGCCAGUCCGUCACUGCGCACUCCAAGCAGAGCUCGAACCCCAGACCUGCCGUGCCCUGCCAGCAAUCUCACUGUAUUUCUUUUUCUCCCACUGUGUGUACUGAAGUGUUAUCUUUUAUGGCUGAUUUAAUUAAACAACAUGACUCUAAAUGACAAAGACCUGCCUGUCAGGUCUGUGAGCUUGUUCCUAUUGACUUUGCCUUGGAGUCUCCUUUCCAUUCUCACCACUUCUCCAUGUCGCUUUCCUUUACAGGUGCCUCUUAUUUGAGGACCUGUCCGGGACCGAACUUAACCGAUACUAUGAUCUUAUCGUUUUGCGCGUCAAAAAGGUAAAACAUCUUUGUACUAUCAAUAUGACAUACAUUAACAGAGUGAUUGGUUAAUAAUGAUAAGGCAAUUACACGCACACUCAUGUCCAGGCUAUACCAUACAAUUCAAGCAGGUAUGAUUACACAAAUUGCACAUUCUGAUUUCAAGCAGAAAAUCACAAAACAUUUCAAGUCCAAACUAAAAAAAGAGAAAUCCAGUCAAAGGCUGCCUAAGGUUACAAUACAUUUCCAUCAUGUUUAAAUGCGGCCCAUGAUUUAACAUACCAACCUCACAAUGAACAGUUCUGUUAUUGUGUCAGGCAAUAUGUUUUCGCCAAUAAGAACGGCAGUAAGACAAACUAACACUGAAUCACUCGCACAGCAGACGUCCUAGAAUCAGGGAGAGCCUCUGGCAUAAAAAGGCGGCCUUGUGUCUUAGCGAAGUGCACGCUGGAAAAACAGGAGACUGAGAAACCGUUCCAAAUUCUUCUGCCGCGUAAACAAUUUGUGUUCGUGGAGAGCCAUACUCCCCUUUCGUUAAUUCCGGUGAGGUAUACCUGUUCUUACCUAAGGGGGAGGUCUGAUGACAGGCUGGGAAGAGAAGGCUGGGCUGUUUCUCCGCAAUGUUUUGCUGCCUGGUUUGGAGCUGACAGAGUUGUAUACAAGGCCUGUACAAGGCCUUCCCCGGACUGGGUAACCGCUCUUAGGCUUC
rnacentral:lncRNA from 1 species